UUCUUAUGUUUCCAGCCCCGGGGCCCUUUUGACCUCUGCAUGGAGAAGCCAACUGCCUUCCGCUGUUCUGAGUCUCUGCUGAGUGGCAAACAUGGGCUGAAUAGCUUCAGAUCCAACCAUGAAAGUGAAAACAUACUGGUGAUCGGUGUGAAGACAAUCACGGUCAUCUCUUCCAGAGUUCUGCUCCCGUGAAGUUCGUUCCACAUGAAGGAAGAGCCAGCCGUCAUCAGGCGUCUUUCCAGUCCUUUCCUCUUCUGCAGUUGUUUACAGUUGUCUUGAGACCUUUCAUCCUUUUUCCCUUUCUGGAGAGCACAGUACUGAGGCUCGCCCCCGCGAAGCUAACGGGAGCUGAUGAAACAUUGUCAGUGUUUCUGCAGAAUCCUUAUCAAUGGCGUUCGAUCUCAUGUUGACAGGUUAGCUGUCUCCGCUUCCACAGCACUGUCUGACCGCCAUUCUCCAUCACAGCAGAUUGACUCGGGUGACUGUCUCCGUGGUUACAAGUCAGCUUUCCAUCUCUGUAUCCUUGCCUCUGCUGCUUGCACAUUGCCAGUCCAGCACGUGACAAGGCAAAAAUGGGGAUGCUAAGACUAAAGACAGUGAGUUAAGACUGACUACGUGCCGCUUGAACAGGCCUGCCUCUUGGAGACAAUUCAAAUGGAAAAGAAAGGAAGAAGAAGAAAAAAAUAACCACAACAUUUCAGGUCAUUGGCCUUUUUAAACAGACCGCCGGCAAUAUUUACUGCUCCUGAAAUAGCAGUCACAUGGAAUAAAACCAUGUUGGUAAAGACUGAAAAACAAAAGAACAAUUUAGAGGCUGCCAUGCUCACUGAGGGCCCUCUGUGUGCCAGCUGAUCUGGCUCCGCUUUCUGGCUGUCCCUGCUGCCUUCUGCCCGCCCAAGGCCCUCAGGAGAUGAAUAAAGGUUGCCUGGGAACCCUUCUCACCUUACGUAGAUUGGGAAGGUAACUGACUGAUGAGAAACAGGGGUGUGAAGAGAUUAUGGGAAAUGCCCCUCCCACAGAACGGUGCUGGGAUGGGAAUACUGUGGCGUUACUAGGGCACCGGCCAGUUGCAUCCUCUUUCUCUCUCUAGCUGGGCCAUCUUAUCUCCUCUCUCCUUUCCCUGUGCGUCUCUACUUCUCUCUCUCUCUCUCUCUCUCUCUCUCUCUCUCUCUCACCCCUUGCAUUCUCCUUUUGGGUACUCUCCUCAUCUCUUAGUUCUUCUGGGGCUCUUCCUGGACCCCUAUCUAUUAGCUGCAUUCUGAAGGUCAAUUAUAGCCACCAAUGCGGGGCUUAAUGAAUAAGUACGGCAGUCAGGUCUGGGUCAGCAUGUCCUCGCGCUGGGACAGACUCUGGGCUCCUGUUCUUACAUCGUCCUGCUCGGUUGUCCAUCAUACAAUUUAACCCAGGUCAUUAAAAAUCGUCGUAUUUAUAAAUGUCUGCUUCUCAAAACCCUUCCACAUCCACUUACCUCAUGAACACCUCGGGAAUUGUGCAAAGCAGCUGAAGAAGCAGGACAAAGGGUACGGAGGUGACGUGGCAGCAUCCGAGGAGGUGACACAGACCGAGGAGAGGUCCUCUGGUCUCUCAACCCCUGGCUUCUCAAACACUGGACAUUUUGCUGACAGUCAAGCUCACUACCAGCAGUGUCAUGGAGCAGA
rnacentral:lncRNA from 1 species